CUAACCCCUCACAAUUCCCUCACACGUCGAUUUUCUUUCUUUCUCCUUUGUUCUCGCUGUCUCACUACUCACCCACGACUCAAGCGCCGCUCCGAUCCUCUCCCUUUUUUUCCCUAAGCUGCUCUCGUCGUCGCUGCUUCUCUCCCUUGCUCCUCCCUAAUCUGCUCUCGUCGGUGCUCCUCUCCUUGUUUCCUCCCUCUGCUCUCAUCGUUGCCGCUCCUCUCCCUUUUUCCUCCCUAAUAUGCUCUCACUAUUGCCGCUCCUUUCACCCACACUCACGCAUACCUGUGUCGCCGUCGGCCUCCAUCGCGUGUCGCCACCAUGAUUCCUCCACAGCACUGCCUACACACCGUGAUUCUGCCUGUCUCCUCCCAAACCCAUUCUCGUCGUCGCGGCUCCCUAAUCUGCUCUCAACCUAGAGGUGUUGGUUCUAUAAAAUUACCUUAUUUUACCUUCCCAAAUUGCUUUUUCUUUCAAAGGGGAUAGAUUGGAAUUCAUUUUUCUAUAGAAAUGAAAUUGAAAUCGAAGGCUCAAUUUGAAGCGGAAUUGGAUGAAGGGACAUGCUUACUAUGGUGGAGCUCUAUCAGAUUGUGUUGUUUACUAGCACAUCUAAUAGG